GUGAAUCAUCAAAUCUUUGAACGCAAAUUGCACUCCCUUGUAUUCCUAGGAGUAUGCCUGUUUGAGGGUCGAUAAAAUUAAAAAUCGAUGCGUCGCUCUUUUUUUUAUGGUUGAUCGCGUCGGAAUUGAGCCGUCUUUCAAAUGUUAAUUCAUGUCAAAGUGGCUUGAAAUUCAUCCAUCCGGUACAAUUUAAGCGUAUUUAAGUCCAAGUUUUAUUUAGAACGCA
rnacentral:misc_RNA from 1 species